UACGUAGGGGGCAAGCGUUGUCCGGAAUCAUUGGGCGUAAAGCGCGUGUAGGCGGCUUGGUAAGUCCGUUCUGAAAGCCCGGGGCUCAACCCCGGGAGGCGGAUGGAUACUGUCAAGCUUGAGUCCGGAAGAGGCGAGUGGAAUUCCCGGUGUAGCGGUGAAAUGCGCAGAUAUCGGGAGGAACACCGGUGGCGAAGGCGGUUCUCUGGGCCUGACCUGACGCUGAGGAGCGAAAGCGUGGGGAGCGAACAGG
rnacentral:rRNA from 1 species